rnacentral:rRNA from 1 species
AAGUCGUAACAAGGUUUCCGUAGGUGAACCUGCGGAAGGAUCAUUAUUGAAAUAAACCUGAUGGGUUGUUGCUGGUUCUCUAGGGAGCAUGUGCACGCCUUGUCAUCUUUAUAUCUCCACCUGUGCACUUUUUGUAGACCUUUCAGGUCUAUGUUGCUUCAUUUACCCCAAUGUAUGUUAAUAGAAUGUUGUGACUAUAUAAUAUAUACAACUUUCAGCAACGGAUCUCUUGGCUCUCGCAUCGAUGAAGAACGCAGCGAAAUGCGAUAAGUAAUGUGAAUUGCAGAAUUCAGUGAAUCAUCGAAUCUUUGAACGCACCUUGCGCUCCUUGGUAUUCCGAGGAGCAUGCCUGUUUGAGUGUCAUUAAUAUAUCAACCUUCUCUUUUUUGAGUUGUUUGGAUGUGGGGGUUUGCUGGACUCUUUAAUGAAUUCAGCUCCCCUGAAAUGCAUUAGCAGAACAACCUGUUCAUUGGCGUGAUAAUUAUCUAUGCUAUUGAAUGUGAGGGCAGUUCAGCUUUCUAACCGUCCUCGGACAAUUUAUCAUUAAUGUGACCUCAAAUCAGGUAGGACUACCCGCUGAACUUAA